GGUUCACAGAGACGGCAGGAAUGCACAUGCACAGAGGAAAGGCCAUGUGAGGAUUCAGCGAGAAGGCGGCCGUCUGCAAGCCAAGGAGAGAGGCCUCAGACAGAAGCAAACUGCUCUCUGUGAUCUAGGACUGUGAGAAACAGUUGUGGUUUGAAGAGUAACUUUCUUCAGGAAAUUGUGGAGACUCUGCAGCAAUGGCUGAAGGUAUACUCUCCAAGUUACCUAAUGGAAUAGUGGCUACACCCUGUUUUCUGUGACAUGGGAACUUGUCCACGACUUCAACACCACCACUACCAUCACCACCACCAUCAGCCAAGAGACACUUAUCCAGCACCUUCUUUGGAGCACAGCCUGGAAAAUCUAUCAUUUCCCUAUUUCAAAAAAUAGCCCAACUGCAACACAUGAGGAUGGCUCCACUUUUUCUACUGCAGAGGAGGAUGUAUAACUCAGAUGGGGAAAGCAAGCCGUCAGUGUAGGAGUGUGGGUGGCCAGUGAAACUAGAGAAUAAUCCCUGGCCAACAGCUUCAGAGAAAUGGGUACCACAGUCCUACAACCACAUGGAACUGAAUUCUGCCAGCAACAGUGAAUGAGCUUGGAAGUGAAUACAUCCCCAGAGCCUCAAGAAAAGACUACAGCCCUACAGAUGAGGAGAUGCAGGCCCAUGGGUUAAGAGAAUUUCCCAAGUUCUCUUGGUGUAAAGAAGUCUGGCUGCAAAGGGACCCCGAGACUUGAGGAAUAACAUGGUGUUACAUGCUGAAACAACCGGCCCGUGGUCCCCAGGACUGUCGCGGCUUCGGCCGCCGGGGCCCCUCCAGAGCUGGCAGCCUCAGUGAGGUCACCCUCCCCUUGGGCUCCGGGGCACUUCAGUGACGGCGAAAGGAACAGACCCCGAGCCGGGAGUUCCAGCUCUGCGGAAACGCGGGCUCCGUUCUGGGCGAGGAGGUGGAACCGCUCUCUAUUUUACUCUUUUUGAUGUGAUGUGUCUUUGGCUUUGGUAUGCAGGUAAUGGUGGCCUUGUAGAAUGAAUUUGGGAGUGUUCCAUUCUCUUCAACUUUUUGGAAUAGUUUGAGAACGGCUACAACACAACGGAGAUACCUUAAGACCUUGCCAACAGAUUAUGUUGUCAAAGUUUUGGAUUUUUGCCAGUGUAGAUUUAUCCACUGAAAUACUCUGAGAGCAGUAACACACCUCAGUAAAAAUGAAUACUCCUGAUCAGUUCCCACUGAAAGAAAUCAGAGAUCUUCGAGGAAAUUGUUGACUUCAGAUCUGGAGCAUAGAAAAUACAAGAGAUGAUGGCAGGGUUGUAAUUUGGGCAACAUAAAAGGGAAUAGGAAGCCAGAUAUGGACACUGAGACCCUUAGAAAUGGCAUUCAUCGAGCCCCUAAUGUAUGCUAGUUAUAAUUUCUAGUUCCAUCAGCUUUCCUGAAACAACUUUUAUGAAGCAGAGGAAAUUGAUUGGAAAGAAAAUUUGCCAGUGUUAAGCUUGAGCAGGUGGAAAAUGAUACUUCAGGAUUCCAGUCUGGGUGCUGAUGGAACUUAACUAGGUGGACCCUUGUUUCUUGGCUUUUUCAGAGGACCAAUCAAGAUAAAAAGUUGCAGAACAGAGAAUAGCAUUCUUGUUGGAGGUUUACAGGAACAUUGAGACCUGACCUACAUGGACAGCUGCAAGAACAAAGGAUUACAACACCAAGAAGUUUGCAGCAACGAACAACACCCUCGCCUCUUUUAAUAUAAGAGAAGCUGGAAUUCUAACUCUGCUAAGAUGGUCCUUUGGGACACUAGUCCACCGUCUCCUUGGACUGCUGGCUUUCCAAGUAAAGUGCUGUUCCUUGCCCCAGUAACUCGUCCUUUGAUUUAUUGGCCUGUUGUGCAGCCAGCAGUCUCAGACUCAGUAACAAGAGUAUAGUUUUGGGAACAUUUUCAUCAUAUUUACCUGUGGAAUUUUGGUGUUUGGAAUUUUUUUUUGUUGUUUAAUUCCCCUUAGGUGAAAACAGAAACAUGGAAGUGCUGAUAUUAGUGAUAAUAUCGUUAAGAUAAAAUUGUAAAUGAUCAGUUAAACCCAAAGUGUUGCAUCCUUAUUUUCUACUGCAUGUUUAUUGGGCUUAAGCUCAUCAAUUGUCUGUUUGCUUAUCAAAUUAAUAUAAUAAAUUAGAGGUAAUAUAAGGGUCCUUAUAAGUAAAAGAGGAAGCAGGAGAAUCAGUGUUUGAGUGAUACAGCAUGAAAAAGACUCAACUGGCCAUUGCUGGCUUUGAAGAUGGAAGGGGCCAUGAGCCAAGGAAUGUGAGUAGCCUCUCUAAAAGCUGGAAAAGGAAAGGGAAGGAUUCUCCUCUUGGGCCUCCAAAAAGAAAAGACCCCUGCCCACACCUUGACUGUAAUUUAGUGAGACUGCAUCAGAUUUCUGACCUCUAGAACUGUUAUAUAAUAAAUUUUUGUUGUUUUAAGCCAAUAAGUUUGUUACAUCAGCCAUAGAAUACUAGUACACCAUGGAAGUCUUUUUUUUAAGAAUUCCACAAAUAAUAUAUUGGGAAACAUUGUAUUAAAUUAUGCUUUGAAUUUGGA